rnacentral:rRNA from 1 species
GACGAACGCUGGCGGCGUGCUUAACACAUGCAAGUCGAACGGAAAGGCCCUGCUUUUGUGGGGUGCUCGAGUGGCGAACGGGUGAGUAACACGUGAGUAACCUGCCCUUGACUUUGGGAUAACUUCAGGAAACUGGGGCUAAUACCGGAUAGGAGCUCCUGCUGCAUGGUGGGGGUUGGAAAGUUUCGGCGGUUGGGGAUGGACUCGCGGCUUAUCAGCUUGUUGGUGGGGUAGUGGCUUACCAAGGCUUUGACGGGUAGCCGGCCUGAGAGGGUGACCGGCCACAGUGGGACUGAGAUACGGCCCAGACUCCUACGGGAGGCAGCAGGGGGGAAUAUUGCACAAUGGGCGGAAGCCUGAUGCAGCAACGCCGCGUGCGGGAUGACGGCCUUCGGGUUGUAAACCGCUUUCGCCUGUGACGAAGCGUGAGUGACGGUAAUGGGUAAAGAAGCACCGGCUAACUACGUG